UCUCUCCCACCCUACCUGAUCCACACUUGCCUUUCUCCAUCUCUCUCUCUCUCACACAUGCUCUCUGCUCUGCUAGGCCCGAACGGCUGCCCUCCGAUGGUCGCCGGCGUGCAGACACCGGAUGAGGAGUUCCAGACACCGCUGAAACUCCAGCCUCGCGAGCCCUUCGUUGCCGUUCUCCGCCGCGAGCAGAAGCCUCCAGGAUCGUACUUUUGGACAAGUAAAUGUUGGGGCAUUGAACAAUCUGAGGUAUGCCCCUCAAGCUCUCGCAGCUGGUGGAGCGGUGGCCUCGUCGGGGUCGCGACGGUGGUCUCUGCUCCGAGACUCAGAGCUCUCUUCUCCGACCUCGUCUUCAAUCUCAAUUGGGGGUGACCCCCUUCUCUCUCUAUCGAAAUGGCGGUCUCUUUCCAGACAACUAUUCAUCCCCAAGUCAGACUCGCUCUCCCGCCUCCAAGGUUCUUUCUCUUUAUCUUUCAUGGGGUUUCUAUCUUUUUCAUUUUUCCUUACUGGGAUUUCUUCAAAAUUGAGUCUUUUUCAUUCUUUUGUUUGUUUAUGGCAAUUAUGGAACAAAGCUUUAUUCGGGGUUAAAGCUUCAAUCUUCAUGCACUUUUGGUGCUGGAAAAACCAACUUGACUGCUAAAUUCUAUGGAAAAGUUCAUAAGAGUCUUCAGCCUUGGACCAGUAAUCAUAAACCAACAAGAGCACAAAUUGGAAUGAUGCCUAUUGGAACUCCAAGGGUGCCCUAUAGGACUCCUGGUGAAGGUACUUGGCAAUGGGUUGACUUGUGGAAUGCCCUGGUAAGUUUGUCACUUCCAUGCUAUCUACGAUAAAAGGGCAAAUGUCUUAUCCUAUUAAAAAGGUUAAAUGUAAAGUACAUUUAUUAUCUCAACAAUUACAAAUUGAAGGAUCAGUAAUAACCUCAAGUAUAUGAUUCAUCUGUUUCAGUUAUGAUUAUCUAUUUUUUAUUUGAAAGUGUUUGUGUUGGUUAUUUCAUUUUGUUCAUUUUGAUAUAUCCGCCAUUUUCCCUGGACUUAAUUUUUUUGCUGCUGUAAUAAAUGAAUUUAAAGGGUCUCGUGCUUCCUUUCUUCUGCAUAAUAAGUUGUUUCAGAGAAUAUCUCUGUGUGGAUGUUAAUUUGGUUUAUAAUCUUUCUGGAAAUGCAGUACAAAGAACGUGUCAUCUUUCUGAAAAUUGUUCAUUUCAUAUUUAUGAUUAAUGCACUCUAUGUGUUUAUAGAAAUGCCCCCACUACUUUCAUUUUUUGGAUUGAACAAAGUCGUGAUUCACCAAUUAGAAAAGAGGGUUUAAAUUAAUUAAGAAAGCCAGAUUGAGUAUUUACUAAUUUAUAUUUUGAUGCUUUCAUUAACUCAUUAUCAAAUAAGUUAUAGCCACUGAUCGAUCAACUCACUAACUCUUAUACAUAUUAUAUAUAAUGAUUGUUAUAUAUAUAUCUAUUAUAUAUAUAAAAAUAUAUGUAGUAAUAGAUGAGAAUAAUGAUGUGUUUUUCAAGGGUAGUAAGUGUUGGUUUGGUAGGUGUUUGCCUGAAUCUAAGAGCUUUCAUGAGUUUGAAGGAAUUGGACCUAUUCCAUCAAAGUGGCAUGGAGGUUGUCAACCAGUCAUCAAAGAUAAAGUCCACUGUAAUAGGUUAAUAUUUUGAUUGGUCUUAAAGUAUUGGAUCGGUAGCUAAUUGCAAGAGGUAUGUUGUAUUUGAUUUUUUUUAAAAUUUUCAAUAUUUUACAAUUUUGAAUGAUAAUUGUAUUACUUUAGUGGAGUUUGAAUAUCUUAGAUAUUCAUCCGUAGUGAAGUAGGUUCUGAGAAUUCUGUGUGCUGCGGUGAUAACGGAAGAUUGAGAACUUGCAUGUCUUAGUGAAGUAGGUUAUGAGAAUUUUGUGUGCUGCGGUAAUAUAUGGAUGAAAACUUGUGUGCUGUUUGAUUUGUUUGACAUGAAUGUGACAGAUGGCUAGGUUAGUAAAUUAGGGGAUAUGCUGUCUGAUUUUCUAUAGAUGGUGACAUGUUGGCUUUUCUCUUUUUCUUCUAUUUUCAGUGCAAGAUGUGUAUUUUACUAUGUUUUAGUUUUCAUGUAAUAUGUUUUUUUUUUGUAACCUAUUUUUUUGUUAAAUUUUCAUGUAGUAUAUUUCUGCUAAUUGAUGUUGUGCUUUGCUCAGUUGAUUAUGUUGUGUGAUUAUAUCAUUAUAGCAAUUUAUGCAUGUUCUACAAUUUUCUUUCAUAGCACAUGUUUGAUGAAAGUCCCAAGUUUUAUCCUAUAAUCUUAAUAUUAGGCUCCAAAAUCUAAAGGCUCUGAGACACAUUUAAGCAUGUUUUAUAUAGUCAAUCGAAAUGUUAUGUAUUACAUAUAAUUAAGGCCACCUCUUUACUUGGCAGACAUUUAUAUAAACAUUACAUGAAUAUAAAAUAGACUAUGUAACGACCAUCAUUUGUGUGGGGUCCAAUAUUGUAGAAACUGAUAUUCUAACACGUUUGCCCAUCUUUUUCUUCCUGUGGGGUCCAAUGAUAGACUAUGGCUUAGGAUGGUAAAUUUCAGACCUGUCUUUUAUUUUUUGAUCUGUUUAUUUGUUCUCUCAUGUUUCAGUUUGUUUGUAUGUAUAUAUGGGUUUAAGUAAUGAAUAUAUAUUAUCUAUUUAAGUUGAUGGUAUAAUAUAUAUUGGUUGCUUCUGUUAUCUGCUUGGAUCUCUUGUAAGAUUUUAAUAUGUAUAUACAUAGGUGCUCACGAGUUUUGCUGCUUAAUUGUGAUGUAUUAAGUUGAUGGCAUUUCAUUACUGCAUAAAUGUAGAUAGAGUCAAAUACAUACACAGAGGAAGCAUAUGAGGUUUAGACUCGUAUAGAGUUAUACAAAUUUGGUAUAUUAUUUUCUUAAAGAGUUAUUGCUUUAGUAGGGGUAGGCAAAGUUGGAAUCAACUUUGACUUUUCAGUGCUGUUGUUUUCUAUAAAAUUGAUGCAGUUAGACUUGGUUGUAUCUAAUUAGGCUAGAAUCAUUGGGGAAAUUUUAACACAUGCAUUUUCUCAUUUGACUUGAAAACAACACCGAGAUCCUAGGUGUCUUAUGUUACAAAUAGUAUUUUCUGGAUUUAAUUUAAAAUAUUUAACCAAAAUGAGACUAAUUAUGUGAGUUACUUUGUGCUAGCUACAAGAAUUUGGAAUACGGCAUGCUUCACAUGAUGAUAUAACAUCAAUUAAUAUUUGUAUAUCAAAACAUGCAUUUUAAUAUUACUUUUGCUCACUGUUUUUAGGCUGUUUUUAGGCUGCCUUCCUAGCUAUGAAGAGUACUAGAGGGAAACUUAUGGUAUUUCAGUCAGGCAAGUUUAGAAAAUGAAUACAUGUUUAUGUUUGCAUGUUUGUAUUUAAAUGAGUAUGCAUGUAUAAUUGAACUGUUUUUACAUAAAUUGUUUUUGUUGGUAGAUACCACCAAUUAUGUUAUGUCUUUUUAGGUCUUGAUGAUUAGAAGUAGACAAUGUGAGACACAGACUUUCAGUCGGAUUUCUGCAUGGUGAAGAUGCACCAUUUUUUAAUGUAGUUAUUUUUGUAUUUCUAAAUACAUGAAAACCGUACUUUUUUUCUACAAUUCAUUAUAUAUUGUGUAAGUUGCAGAAUAUUUUUGUACGGAGUGCUUGCUAAUGUAGGUGCAAAAAAGAUUUUGUUACAUUCAUGAAUGCAAUUUCAGAAACAAGUGUGUCGAUUAAGUCUUGUAUUAGCUUUUUUCAAAAAAAUUAAGUUGUAUUAGCUUAGCAGUAUCCGUGAAAUUUAUUUGAGAAACCAAUUUCAUAUAUGAAUCCGUAGUUGGGCUUAGCAUCUAUAUUUUUCUCUCAUAGGGAAUUUUAGAUCUCUCAUAGCAUGCAUGAUAUUGAUGAUUUAUUUAUUUACAAUUUUUCCAUCAACUGGCAUUGGAGCUCUUUCUGCCAGAGGAGCUGAAGGAAGAGCUAAUGUAUCUGCGGGAGAGAAGGGUACAAGUGUCACACACACUUCUCAUAUACCAUUUGGUUUGUCCUUUUUAUGAAUAAUGUAAAAUUAGAACAAUUUUAUUGUAAGAUCCAUUAAUAGAGUAUCAAAUUAAAAUAUUUAGAUUGUUAUUAGGACUUAGAGGUGGUUUGAGUUUUUUUAUGUAUUUAUUUAUUUAUUUUUAUUGAUAAUGUUGAAAGAUGUUAUAAGUUAGCUUACAUUAUAUGUUAAUGAGAACUAUAAAUUUCUUUUGAUUU